CUCUGUAAAUAAAAGUGGAAAAAGUUGAUGUUAAUUGAUGCACGCAGGCUUGGGUUCAUGUUCUUAAUUAUGGAGUAAGAUUAGGGAAGAUUAUUUUCGAUUUUUAGCGAAUUUUGUUUAUGAGGAUACUGUUUUGCUAAAUCUCCCAAGUGUGUGUGUAUUCACUCAGUAUGAAUCAGAACUGUGUAAUCAAAUAGUUUUUUGAUAUGAUCAUGUGCGACUAGAGAUCCAGUGAGGAGUUAGAGAACUAACGGUUACACUUUUUUCCAUUUAAACUUUCUGUUGCAGGUGCGAUAUUUGCUGGAGCCAAAUGUGGUACACUGUCACACUCCUCUUAGGACUUGUUAUUUGAGUGCUCUUAUAGGUUCAUGUGUAGGGCACAAGUAGUACAUUAUUUCUUGUAUUCUAUUUCUGCAUAUCUCUUUAGAAGUCAUAUCCUUUUGACAUUGACAGAGGACUUUCUGUUGGCAUGUUAUCUGUUGGCAUCGCGUUUACCCAUCGUCCUCCCGAAGCAUAGCUAUUCAACAGAAGGACAUACGCGCCAGGCUUUGCCUCCGCAUGCUCUGAGAGCUUCUCAGAUGCCCUCGAGCCCAACUCCUCGUCAUGGAAAGGACUGGUUGAUGGUAAAGGACUGGUUGAUGGUAAGACUGGAAAUCUAUACUUCUGGAACCCAGUGACCAACGUCACCCAGUAUGAGAAACCUGUUGCCUCCCCUGUUUUGAGCUCGGCAGUUGUUAGUGAUGCUUUGGGUUCAUCUGCUCAAAAGGACUCACAGUGCCGUGAUGAAGGCAGAAACAACAAUGCUGGUUCAUUGAAGCCUGCUUCAGAUCCGGGAGCUGAUCAGGUGCUUCAAGUUUUUAUAUAUAUAUAUAUAUAUAGGGUAGUGUUAAGCUACUUUUACACCUUAGAGUACUAUUUCCUUCCUUAUAUCAUCCACUAGAUUAUAGUAGUGGACGGUCAAGAUCAAUCUUGGUAAAUGGAUCCCGGCUUGCAUUAUUUGUCAUAUGUUGUGCAUUAUGAGGGUGUAUUAGUAAUCACACCAUAGCUCAGAAACGUUUUAAAACGGAAAGGCCGAGAAAUUAGCGGGAUUUUGUUAUUCCUUCCAUCUGCUCAUUCUCUCUCACUCCAUCCCAUCAAAGCACAACUUCUCCCCUCAUUCAAAGCCCAAAAACCCUAGCCGCCAAAAGGGAAGCUGCAGAUUCCGAGCGCCGCCGUCAAUCGUGUCAGUGAAUCGCGACGCCGAGCGUCGAUUCGGAGUCACCGAGUUCAGGGUUUUGUACGCUUGCGCCGGUGGACGUCGAUUCAACGAAUUUAUACAGAAAAGGUGAUAGAUUUUGGACAAGAUUUGGGGGUUUGUUGACGAAUUAACUUUGGUUAUGGUGUAAAAUCUAAAGUGUGUUCUGUUCUUCUUGCGUUUGUUAGUGUGGGAAUGUCGAAAAGAUGGCGCCCCUUCAGAAGCCAGCUAACGCAGGCCGAACAGAACAAAUGACGAAGAGAGGUAGAGUAGAGCAUACAAUACCCCACCAACAGACUACGAAGACAUGUGUUACUGUGAGUUAAGUUAUACAACCAGAGAUAUGCCACCGGGUUUUGGAAGGAGAGGCCGCCAAAGUUCGUCUUCGAGAAGUGGGUCGAAGAUUACGAGCUGAAUUGAUCACAUGAGUAGUCAUUGAAACGCUCUUUAGUUUAUUUUGAACAAUGUGGUUUUUUUUAGGAUAGCACAUUUUGGAAUGAAAAAAGACAAAUUAUUUGUUGGUCAAUUUUGAACAAUACUUAGCUCUUGCUAAAUGAAACAUAUUGUGGUGCUAGUG